UCAUAGCAGAGGCCAUAGGACCCAUAAGCCUAAAAUAUUUAGUAUCUUGCCCUUUAAGAUAAAAGGUAAAAGUUUGCCAACCCCUGCUGUCGACUACCAGAGAAGUGCUUGGAUCUCCACUAGGAAUGCUAACUCUGGGUGUUUCAGAUUUCUAGAGUUCUUGAAGAUUCUGUAUAGGGCCUGCCUUGGUGAUCCCACAAGAAAAUGAUCUGGUAGUUGAGAUAGGAGAUUGUUGGAGCUUCAAAAUGGUAGUUCUGUAUCUGGGAAAACCCUUUCAUUUUCAGUGCUCUCCCUAGAGCCUGGAGGCCUGAGUUCCUCAGCAGGGCUGGGUGGUGGCCUUGAUUUGACAAGCUACCUUCUCUCUCAUUCUGAUUUCCCAGCCUGUGCAGGGGAGAUUGGACUGACCUAAACCCAGUCUCAUGUCAGGAAAAAGGGAGGCUCAUCGAUUCUGCCAAGUCCUGCGGCGUGUUGCCUGUGAUAUCUGUACUUUGUCACUUCUGACUUCACUGGCCCCUUAGUGCCAAGGCCCUGGAGAUGCCACUGCAGAGAGAGCCUGCAACCCAGCCUGCUGGAAGGGAGGAGGCUGGCAGUGGGAGGAGGGAGCAGACGAUCCAGAAUAGCAAAGAAGACAGAAGCCGAGCACACCCAGCGCUGCUUUUAGCCGGCAACGCUUAACAAGGAAGAUUAUCCCCCUAUUGCUGAUUGGGAAACUGAGGCUCAGAAGGACCAAGGGUCACCAAGUGCUUGUGGGCUGCCUGCUCCCAGACAGCAAAUGGGCUGGUCCUGUCAGUUCCGCCUGAGACUGGAUUGCUGCCUGAUUUAUCUAGAACAUCCACUCUAGCUCCAGAUACCCAGGCAGAGUCUGGAAUCCGUCCCCUGGACAGCUCCCCUGUCUGAAGAGCACGGUUUCUCUCGCUGGGUAAAGAUGGAGACCCCGUAGAGCCGGCCCCAGUGAGGAGACAGGACAGAGAGGCGGCACGAAGCCUGUUUUCCUGGCCGGUGCCCACGGAACUGGAGUUUGUGGCCGGUACAGAGUGCUUGCAUUCCACACCCCGGACAAAGGCGGGUCAAAGUUCAGCUCCUUCCCUUUAAAGAAAAAAAAAUUCGUCUUUGGCAUUUCAAAGUUUUGACCCAGAUCAGCCAGAGGCCACGGAGAGCUCACGAUGUCUGGAGAGUUUGUUUAAUUUUCUGAGGCCUGUAGCUGCGGAGAGGCAGAAGAGAGCCAGCGACCUGUUGGGCUUAAGCUGAAGCCCUGCCUUUUCCAGUUGGCACUGGCCUGGCCUCCCCGGGCCGCCAAAGAUGACUCAGUGUAUCGGGAGCCGGGAGAUGGAGCUCUCAGCCGAGUGGCCAGGAUGUUCUGUCAACAUGAAAGCAGCAAAAACAGCUCGGGGCUCUGAGCCGAUCUGUAGCCUGGGGUCAUUUUCAGGAAGGGCUGGGCAGAGAAGAAGGCCGCUGCUUGACAUCAGGAUGGGGGCGACACCAGUCUCGUGCUUUCCCGUGGAUGCUUGCGCUGACCUUUGUCACUGGGCAGUCCUGCUCUCCCCAAGGACCUCCCAGGAGAGCUUGGGAGAGUGCAGCUCGCUCCGUGAGUGGGUGACAACCUCUUGGCGACUCAGGCUCAGCUGAGGAUGGUGCCAGUGUGCCGAAGACAGCCGUCAUGCUGCCGGGUAGAAUGGCUCCCUUGCAUUUAUUUGGAACAAAAAAAGGCGAUGCCUGGCAGCCCUGCUUUUGCAGUAAGUGUUCGUCUGCAUUCUUUUACAUUCUUUUAUUUCUUCAAACGUCGGAAGUGGAUAGAUGUUUAUGGAGCCCAGCCACCUGCGAUGCUUUCUCUAUUCUUCUCUUGCACACCCCGCCCUUAGUCCUACAGAAGAGAGGACUGGAUUGGCUUUCUGAUGCUACUGGAUAGCUGCAGAGAGGCUAGAAUUUGGUGUUCAGCCCCCACACAAGCCCCUCACAUUCGGGAGAAGGUGAUUUUCCCUAAAAUAGAGCCAGCAGCCUGUGUCCCUCCAUACGGAGUGUUAAUGGGCAGCUGGGAAGGACCCUGUGUGCCCUCACUGCCCCUAGCCGGGAAACGAGGCUCCCCAUUGGCUGGCUGUGGGAGGAUGGUCCUUGCCAGCACCUAGCAUGGUUCUCUGCCAAGUUCUAGCUCCACAUCUCUAGGCUGGUAGGAACCUAGACUAUAUAUAGCAUUGUGCUAAGCAAUUCUUAUCAGACGUGUCUGCCCUCCCCUGUGGGAGAGGAGCACUUGUAUCAGAGAACCGGAACCUAGAGAGCGGGAGCCAUCUCCAAGGGCCUUUUAUUCUGGGAAGGGGUGUGUGUGUGCGCGCAUGUGCGUGUGUGUGUGUGUGUGUGUGUGUGUAUGCAUGUCGGGGGGCAGGGUUAGGGCUGCUUACUUUCCUCUCCCCUGUUUCAGAUGCUGGUGGAUUCAAAGGUCAUGCCGGAUGAGGGUGCUGAUGUGGGCCGAGGGCCAGGAGAGGCCGAUAGUUCUCCCAUGGAUAUUGGGCUUUGAGGGGGAGAGGCUAGGGGCACGUGACAUGGCUGAGGGCACAGUUGUGCCCCUUUUCAAAGAACAGACUCCGGUUUCUCUCCGUAGUUUCCUGUUUGCCUUGCUUUACCCAAGGAUGUCUUUUGACCUCUGUCUUCCUUCUUUUGAACCCCAUGCAUUCCCUUGCCUUCCUCCACCACUUCCUCCUCCUUCCUUUGAUUUUCUUUAUGAUAGACAAGGGCAGGCUCAGCUACUGACAUCCGGAAGCUGCGUCUGCCCUCCGCCUUCACCCCUGUCUGGGCUUUCUGGAGGUCUGGCUGCAGCCGGGCAGAGAGGGCUCAGCUGUCCCGGGAGGAGUUUUGGUGGUGAGCAGUGUGGUGCUGGGUGGUUUUGGGCAGGGGAGGUUGGAUGUUCCCCUUUGCCCCCUCAUAGGUACUGUCAAGCCACCGAUUUGCAUGGGUCUGUGACCGUAAGUGCUGAUCGAUAUGACGUCGUGAUCCCAGUCUUGUCAGUGAAUCUUCAGCCAAGCUGCUUACUGGAAACCAGGUGCAACAAGGAACGUGGGGUUUAACCCCUUCCUGCCUCCCAGGAACCCUGAAACCAGCAUUCCCAGAGGCAAGAGGACGGACCAUCUGGGCUUGGCUUCCGGCACCCCUCCCCCACUCUGGCUGGAACUUGCAUCGGGCACGUAAGUAGCUGUGACUCAGCACCGCGCUGGGUCAGGAGGGAGAAGCUGCUGCCUUGGCAGGCAUCUUCCCACGUUCUGGGUCUGAACACAUUGUGGCAGCACAGAACAGGCAAGCGGAUUAGGCUCCCGGGGGUGAAGAUCUGUUCGGUGGGUUCGCUUCUGGAUUUCAUAAACAAGGAUUCCCUCGCCUUCCUGCUUUCCUCCCGUGUUAGUGUUUGGGUACCAUGCUGGGCACAAGAUAUUUAGGACUUUAAAGACUUAGAAAGCAUCAUUUAUAGAAUGAAGUAGAAGCUGUCUCUGCAAUCUCCAGGCUGUUUUUAACCAAUGGCCCAUGGAAUGUGUUUAACCCUCAGAUGUGUUGUGUCCGGCCUGCACAGGUUUGUGUUUGUUUUCAGUGCAGCUGAUUUUGUGCGCCUUUACACAAACCGUGGCCUCUCCAGGUCGCUGUGUUUCUGCUGCACAUGCUGCUGCUUCUCUCUCAAGUUUCCUGCCGAGGCCCUCUGAGCAUUUGGCUGUGUGGCCACCUGUCUGCCCGGCCUUCUCUCUUUACAGAUGAAGACACUGAGGCCCAUUCAGGGCAAAUGGCAGGUCCCUGUUCUCAGAGUUUGGGCUGAGCAAGAAUUAAAGCCACUGUGUUCCUCUACCCUGCCCAGAGAGAGGAGUGUCCUGGCGUGAGAGGGUGGAGGACAUCCAGAUAGAAUGUGGGCACAGAAAUGGACGGGGCCUGGGGCUCGGCUCCCACCCCUCUUCCCGGCAUGGCAGCGCCUCUCAGGGCUGACAUACCUGCUCUCUGGGUGGGUGGUUUUCUCCCCCAGGGAGCCCUGCCAAGCCCUUUGCCCCUGGCCGGUUUGUUUGGGACGGUUAGGCCGAGGGGGGAGAAACCCUUCACCCUGCUUGGGCAGCAGAGCCUUCAGCAGGCUGGGGCUUACAUGGGCCGCCUUCUGACAGGUCUAGGUGGCCUUCAGGCUCCUUGUCCCCUUUCCAGCCCUUAUCAAACUAACCAGCUACUUCCAACUAGGGGAAAGCCACCAGCUUAUUUCAGAGAAGAGUCAUUGCUCAGCUGACUUUGAGAGGAGAGAACCCUGGUCCCACUGGGAGGGCUGAGACCUGAGCGGACCCUUUAUCCAGUGGAAUUGGAAGGGCAAUAGAUUUUGGUACUGAGACGACUGUUUUCCCUUUAGAAAGCGGUGCGUUACUAAUGCUUUCUUAUCUCUUCUUCCAGAAAGCUAAGAGUUAAGUUUUAGAACCCAAGAGUGGGGACCAGAUUCUGGCUUCUGUCUGUUGGUCCCCUCAGUGGCAGUGGCUCCCCUGCCACGUGCAUCCCCUCCGCUGGACUCCAGAUGGCACCUCAUGGGUAGCAGGAGAGACAUUAGUUAAAUAAUCACACCCAUGACCAAAUGAGAUAAGUGGCUUCUGAAGGAAAGAACUUGAGGCUGGACACCUAACCCUCUAGCAAGCCGGGUGGACUCGGGGAGGCUUCUUGAGCUGAGACAAGGAGGGUGACGGGCUCCUUGGGGUGGCGGUGAAUGGGGGCAGGGCCGAAGGGUGGCAGCGAAGGGACAGUGGGUGGGGAGUGUUGCAGAAAGUGGCAGCAGCACAGGCAGGGCCUUGUGGUGAGAGGAAGGGUGCUCUGGAUCCCUGCAGGACACCUGUGUGGGGCGCAUAGGACGGGCUGUGUGGGUAUUGGCCGUUGGAAGUCGCUAAGGCAGAGUUUGAAUCAAGAAGCAGAAAAGUGAGAACCUCAUCCAACCCCCUCAUUUUACAGGAUUUGGACUCCCAGUAAUAACUGUCAUUAAACACUCACUCCUGACCUUAAAACACUCCUUGUUACCUGGUUACAAGGCCCAGGUGUUGACAGCAGGUGUCAUCACUCAGAGCCCCUGUGUGCAGAUCUGCCCCCAGCUCUCCCCGCUGUGACUGAGGCCAUGGAGAGUCCCGCCGGGGGCUGCAGAGCCUGGCGCUGGUGUCGGAGUUGCCUGGGCAGGUUUGUCACCAGCAUGUUCCCCAUGCCGGGGCAGGGGGGACCGCAAAGGCACCAGAAGUGCAGGAGAACACAGCCAGCUACCCCAGGCUACCCCAGCCACCAAAAUCAUGCUCCCGUCUCCACCCUACUACGACACGUUACUGUGGUCAGUAUAGGCAAAAAUAUUGCCUAGGAAUCUCCCCCCUCAAUCUUGUUCUUAAUUCAACUCUAGAACAAAAUGGGAUAUGAUAGGCUGUGGCCCAGGCAGCAGUGAGCAGAGGGGCAGCAACAGAGACUUUGCAGUCAGACCCGGGAGCUGUAUUUAACUGGCCGUGUGGCCGUGGACAAGUUAUUUAGCCUCAUUAAGGAGCAGUUUCUUCUCCUGCAAAAACUAGAAUAACACCUGCUUCAGAGGACUGUCGUGAGAAUUAAAUAGCACAACUCUUGAUGUUCAAGUUUUAUUUUCUUCUUUUCCCUAUAGCAACAUAUACCAUACUGUUAUUGCCAGGAGCCUUAAAAAAAAAAUAAAAGCCUAUGUUUAGCGGCCUUGAGAAUUGGUAGGGAACCUAAAGCCAACAGCUUCUACUGUCUCUUCUUUCUCUUGGUUAUGUUAUCAGAGGAAAUACGCAUAUUUUCUUAGCUUCAAAUAACCAGAAAAGAUGAUGCAUUAAGGAGAUGGGAAAUCUAAUUUGGAACAUUGUGUUCAAAUCUUAUUUUCAGGCAGAUUUUGAAAAUAAAACUCAAUUGUUGUGUUAGAGGAUUAUGUGCUUAAUAUAAUUAGAGGAUACCAGUCUUUUAAGUCACAUCAGAGGUUAAAUAAGAUUGCCAACUAGUGGGCUCCCAUGUAAAUGUUCUGAUACUUACAUACGGGGUGGGAAGAAGGAACCCAAGCUCCUCCUGAAUAGGUCCCAUAAAAGAGUGGCCCAGGGGAAAUUCACCUUUGUGUGGCGGCUGGACUAGGGCCUCACAGGCAGAUGGGCGCUUGGGUCCUGGUGAAGUCAGAUGAUGUGUCUGGAAACACCGUGCAAUCCUGUGAAAUGUUAUACAAGUGCAGGGCAGGAUGAAUGUAAAUAUUACUGUGUUUUAAUAAUAGCUUUGGCUAUUUUAUGUCAUCAUGUAUAUAAUAAUUUAUAGCGACUGGUUGUGAAAUUCAAUAGAAUCAUCCUAGAAUUAAUGAGUUUUGUAUCGCUCUCGUCUGUCGGAAGCAUAAGCUGUGACUUCCAUGUUGCUUUGAGCCGCUGUGUCACUGUCCUCUCUGGGGGAGCGUUAUGUCAUGUCACAAGCAGAACUGCAAGAAGACGUUUCUCCUCUGGGCGGAGGCUGGGUCUUCCGACCGCAUCUCCCUUCUUUCUGCAGCGAGAUCCUCUUCUUCUGGAAGCUGGUUUCACAUGGUGGCUUAGAUUUUUCCAUCUUUGUAUCUAGCACCAUUUGAAAUCAGUGUUUUAGGAGUAAGAAUUGCAGCACAGCAGAGGGUGGACCACGGAGGAACUGCUGCUCACGGGACUGGCUUCUCUCCUCCUGCCGCUUGAGCCUGUUCAAGAAGUCGAGGGAUGAACUAGAAAAGCCAAAUACGCUCUUGAGUAUGCUGGGUCUUUGGAGGGGUGACAGUGGCUUGAGCAGGGGCAGAGGUUGUGACGCUUUCUGUUGACUGCUAGCAGCCAUCACUAGCACUGGCGUGUGGUGAUUGUGUUGUUCAGUUGGGUAACGAGGUAUCUGUCGGGUAUUGACUGUAACGGGGCAGGGCAGAGGGCCGUGUACCUGGAGGACGGCUCCAACCACAUCGGCACUGUCGGCCUGCUCCUGGAGGAUGCCCUGCAGUGUUCAGCUUCCGUCGCCACCUGCCGUGUCAAGGUGCAGACCCUAGGAGCACCACUGGCCCAUCUCUUACACAGGCUGACCGAUUUCUCCUGGUGUUCAGAGUCUGUUUUUGUCUAGCACCAUUUGAAAUCGGUUAUGAUGUAGGGGGAAAAGCAGCAGCCUCGAAGCCUCGUGCCAAGUCUGCCCAGCAACAGCCUGUGUUUUCCUGGAAGAUGGACGGGCAGAGAGUGGGGAAGGACAGUCACACUUUUCCCUGCUAACUUCUUUAACUGCAUGUCUGAUACGUUAUUGCAGAGGUAAGAGAUAACUUAAUGGAUUUUUUAAAAAAACAAAUCGCUAUAAUUUAUCUAACGUCCUCAGUUGCUUUCUGCUGAAAUGUAGUACCGUUGUAAAUUCUAUAAAUUGGUUGCUGUUGAAUUAUCUUUCUGUUGAGAAGAGCAUAUUCAUGCAUCCUGGCCUUAAUAAAUACUUUACUGUAUUAAAUUCA